AUACGGAAGUAAAACUAUCGCUUUAUACCUGAUUCAAAGUAAUGGUAAUACUUGGGAGGCCUAUCUCCUGCCCCGAGCAAAUACGUCCUUUAUCUAGUUUUGCACUGGUUAAAACUAUUUCGAAAAUACAGAAAUAUAUCGCCAUUCAGUUGUCUGGUGUUCUGUAUCUCGACCAGGUGAAUAACUAUAAUUUGUUUCGCAGUGCUGCGCUAGAAAAGAAGAAAAACGUUUAAGCAUUUAACGUUAUUCUGUGUCUUUACUCGCUAUUAUGGAUCAAUAUUCAUUAGUGAAAGUUAUUGGCCAAGGGUCUUUCGGUCGAGCUCUUUUGGUUCAGCCAAUAAACGGAGAGCAAAAUUAUGUUAUGAAGGAAAUACGACUGCCAAAGGAUGAUUCUGGGAUAAGAAACAGCAGAAGAGAAGCUGUGCUUCUGUCCAGAAUGAAGCAUUCAAACGUUGUGGCAUUCAUAGACUCAUUUGAAGCUGAUGGUCAUCUGUACAUUGUAAUGGAGUUCUGCAGUGGUGGAGAUCUUCUUUUAAAGAUACGGCAGCAAAAAAAUGUUCUGUUCACUGAGGAUGUGAUCCUGAAGUGGUUUGCACAGAUGUGUCUAGGCACCAAGCACAUUCACGACAAGAGAGUACUUCACAGGGAUUUAAAAUCAAAGAAUAUUUUCUUGACAGACAGUGGAACUGUGAAGUUGGGGGAUUUUGGUUCAGCAUGUUCUCUUAACAGCGCAAAAGCAUACGCUCAGACCUAUGUGGGUACUCCGUAUUAUGUGUCUCCAGAAAUAUGGGACAACAAACCUUACAAUAAUAAAAGUGACGUCUGGUCUCUUGGCUGUGUCUUGUAUGAACUUUGCACACUCCAACAUCCGUUUCAGUCAAGUAGCUGGAAGAGCCUGAUCUUGAAGGUGUGUCGUGGGACAUAUGCACCUUUACCCAGUCACUUCUCCUAUGAGCUCCACUACCUCAUCAAAAACAUGUUCAAGACUAACCCUAAAGACAGACCCUCAGUACACACAAUCCUUAGCUCUCACCGUGUGUCUCGACUGCUGCAUAAACACCUGGUACCAGAGAAAAAGGAACUGGUGCAAGAACGAACACACCACUGGAAGAGAGAGGAAGGAGAAAAAGUGGCUAUGUUUUUAGGACAGAAGAGUUUAGUGACCACAACUUCCACUGAAGGAACUUUGCAAGAAGAACAGUCUACUUUUGAAAACAACUGCAUUGAUGACCCAGCUUCUCGUAAGAGGUGGGCAGUCGGGACUUGCAAUACCGUGAUGGGGGUCCUAAGAAAUGCUGAUAUCAUUUCCACUGGUAGCAUGGAAAAUGCAGAACAGACUGAUCUUAUUUCAGAGGCUGAGUAUGUGGAGACCCAGGAAAGACGAGUGAGGAAACAGUGGGACAAAGAUCCACCUGAGAGACUCCUGAGCAUUUUGGAGAAAGUGCAGCUCUGUUAUGGCUUUGAGACUUACACUUUACGUAGAGAUGGUCAGUCGAGCAUGGAGACAAAGUGGAUGGCCCUGAGAUGAUGAUCACAGACUACAGUAGACUGGAGCCACGCUCAGAUGAUGAAGAUACGGAUUUUGAAGAGGAGUGUCCAUAUGACUGGAUAAAUGAACUGGAGGAAAUGAUGAGCUAGAGAAACUUAAAGUCCAGGUUUGUGGGAGAAAUUGGCCAUGUACCACUAACUGCAUUCUCAUAGGCUUCCACUUCUUGCACUAAUUCAGAAACCACUGAUGAAAUGGUUGGCUGAGGGUGUCGUGAAAGUGUAUCGGCGACCACCAGUUUUUUGCCAGGUACAUUGUUUUGACAGGAUUGUAACUCAUCAUCCGCAGCAACAGCCUUUGACAUCUCAGUGGAACUGAAUCAAGAUCCUUUGAUCAGAGGAAUCAGUGGCUUAUGGUCGGUUUACAGGAUGACACUUUACAAUCCAUACAAAUAACCGUGAGAAUUUUUUACAGGACCACACGGCCACCAGGCACUCUUUUUCGAUCUGGACGGACCUUUUUUCAGCAUCGGUAAGCACCCUGGAACAGUAAGCCACUGGUUUCAGAUUUCCAUCAUGGUCCUGCCUAGGACCUAGGAAGGAUGUCAUCAAUUGUUGGCAGCACAAAUUUCUCUCUUUUUACAGCUUUAUUCAGUUGUUUCAGAUCGACACAAAUUGUUAUUUUCCCUGUUUUCUUUGGGACGGCCACCAUAGGGGCGCACCACUCUGUAGGCUCAGUGAUCUCCUCAAUAACAAUGUGCCAUUCUCUCUAGCUCCGCCUUGACUUUUGGAAGCAAGGGCACGGACACCCGUCUUGCAGUGUGCACACUGUAUGGUACAGCAUCCUCCUUCAGGAAGAUUUUAAUGGGUUUUGUCUUUACUAAUCCCAGUUCAGAAAAAUAAAUGGGUUGGAGCUCUUCUAGCCUCUUAACUAAACCCAUUUCACUUGCUGCGUCACGACCAAGGAGAUUGUUUACAUAGGGACCAGUCACCACAAAUGCUUCAAAAAUAUACUGCUCAUUUUUAAAGGUAGUCUUCGCUCUGAACUGACCUUUGCAUUGCAGUGUACCUCCUGGGCUAUCAAGUUUCACAUUAACUUUAAGUUUUGGCUUGUACUUCAAAACUGAGCAGCUUUUCUCAGAAAUGACACUUAUGUCAGCGCCUGUGUCAAAUUUAAAGUCUAUGUCUGUGCCCUGAAUUGAUAGUGUGACAAUCCAAGCUCCACUUUUGUCAUCAAUGUGUGUUAACUCACCCAGGAAAUGUGCUACACUGCUGCCCUCUUGUGGUUUGAUGACAUCAUGGACUUCUCGGGUUCUAAAAACCAGGGGCGGACUGGAGCAGGGACUUUUCCCAGUGGGCCGCUAGCCAAUGUGGGCCGGUGUCCUGACAUUUUAUCCUACCCAGUCAGAUUUUCCUACCUGGGUUUAAUGCGCACGCACAUAUCAAUAUCGCGUCCUCUGUCUCAUGCUAAACAACGAUAUUUAAUGUAUCUGCAGUACUGUAAGGGUAGGUUUAGGGUUGGGGUAGGUGUAAACUUUAAUAAAAACGCAAUUUAAUUGGUAGAAAAUAAUAUUUAUUGUUGGUUUCCUGUAGCUGUAUUCCUUCUAGC